ACAACCCUCUCUUGUUUUUCUUUAAAAACUUGAUAAAGAAGCCUCUUAGGUUUUCUCAGUUGCUUACGAAGGUCAACAACAUCAGGAGUCUCAACUCCAGUUGGUGUGCUUGAAAGGCUAUCAACGGAAUGAACAUUGCCCUCCAACUCCUCUUCAUCAAGUUGUUCCUCCUCCUUUUCUUCCUCUUCUUCUUCCUCCAAGUCACCCCAAAAAAUCUUCUUUCCGUACUGAAUUGGAACCAGACUUACUGAAUCCAGAAGCUUCACUAAGGGAUGGGUUGUUAAAAUACAAUCUCAAUUCAAAAGAGUUACCUUAUGACCGUUUAUUUAAGUAUAUUUUGAUGUUAUGUUAAAAAACCAUCUCAUCUAAAAAAAUUAAAUUAUUAAAUAAAUUUUCAAAAUAUAAUUUAUAUAAUUCUCACCUGGACUAUUGUUGUUUGACUUCGUACCUUUCUGUUGGUAUUGUUGUUGUUUAUCUUCUUUGGGCAUGGGUUUUCAGCCUCUCUUCUUUUCUGUGUUUGGGGCUGCAUCCCUUGCAAAAGACGGAAAUUGCAUCCAUGGCUAGGUGGAGUGUUCUCUGUCAGGAUUGUUUGCAGCACCUUCUUUAUGUCAGGAUUGUAACAAAUCAGAACUCGUAACUCAACUCAGAAACCAAGUUCUCCCAGGGUUGAUUUGCUGCCUUCAAAACUGUCUCCUUCUAAUUUUGAACUUUCCUUCUCUUUUUCCUUGUAAGAUACUUCCUCUUUCUCCGCCGAUCUACAGCUGCUGGAAGUCCUUCUCCACCAGGACUGUUUGCCGACCUACUGACUUUGCUGCUGUUUCCUUGCUUCUGCUUUCUGCCGUAGCUUUUCCAGCCUAGUUCUCAUCAACAGUGUACAACUCCUGAAUUACUGCAGAUCUCCCGUUUUCUCCAUAUUGCCACCUCUCUCUCGUUCUCUUUCUCUCCAUAUCUGAUCUUUUCUUGAUCAUGACUCACUCCAAGACUGCACCAGACAACCAUGUUUCUGUCCACUCAACAUUUGUAUCUCAAUAUGUUCGAGCCUCAUUUCCAAGGUUCAAAAUGCCAAAGAAUUCAAUCCUAAAGAGGCUGCCUGCCAGAUCAUAAAUGAUGACUUAGUGUUAAACGGUAAUCCUAGGCUUAGCUUGGCAUCUUUUGUGACCACAUGAAUGGAACCUGAAAGUGAUAAACUCGUCGCGGCUUCUGUUAACAAGACAAUGUUGACAUGGAUGAAUAUCCUGUCACCACUGAAUUACAGGCAAGAGAUUUAAUUAUUUACACAUAAUUAAGAGUAAGACUCCACUUUGUUAUGCAAUGAUAUUUAUUUUUCUUGAUAUUCAAUUAUAAUCUUGUGUUGCAAUCAUAAAUUAUCUUUACGCAUGGAUUGCACAAAUAAUUAUUUUUAAAAUGGAUGUUGCAUUUAGAUCAGCAACUUGUUUCAGCUAUUUGGAUCUGUAAUCUUUUAAUUCUGAAUUAUUGUCAUCUUCUAUAUAAAAAGAAAUGAAAUUAAGACAACGGACCUCACCUUUUUUAUUCCUAUACAAGCAGAAUAGAUGUGUUAACAUGAUAGCACUUCUGCAAAUGAGCUAGUAGCUCGGCUGGCAAUAGUGAUCAUAGCACUUCUGGUGAGAAUAUUUCUGGUUCAAAUUCUACUCACUUUCUACUCACUUGCAUUUCUUAAUCCACAUGUAAGUAUGUGAUAGACUAAGGAUAUCGAGUUGGCGGGUUCUCCCUCAAUGUUUGGCUUUUGAGAGUGGCCGCUCACCUGUGGAUCGUAUCCACGAGUGUGUCCAUGAUAUAUAUAUAUAUAUAUA